UUAAAGUAAAUUAUGGGAGGUCAAAAAUUAGGUGUCAACAUUAGGAAGAUCAUAGGGUUGGAUGGAUGUUUUCUGAAGGGUGUUUGUAAAGGAGAAUUGUUAGUGGCUGUUAGAACAAAAAGGAAACCAACAAAUGUAUCUAAUAGCUUGGGCAGUGGUUGACCAAGAAACUAAACACUCUUGGAGUUGGUUCUUAAACCAUCUCAUUCAAGAUUUGCAGCUUGGUGAUGGAGAUGGAAUAACAAUAAUGUUUGACAUGUAGAAGGGUCUUCAAUCACCUGUUCAGGAGUUACUUCCUAAUGCGGAAAGGAGAAUGUGUGCAAGACAUAUUUGGGCAAACUGGCAAAAGGAAUAGAGAGGUGAAGCAAGGAGAAGAGCCUUUUGGAGGUGUGCCAAGGCUAGUUUUGAGGUAAAUUGGCAGAGGAGUUUAAACAUUUGAGUCAACUUGGUAAAAACAUAUGUGAGUCAUUGGUUAUCUAUAACAAAGAAUAUUGGUGUAGGUCUUUGUUUAGUGAAAGAACCAAAUGUGAUGUGCUAGAAAAUAACACGUGUGAAACAUUUAAUUCUUGUAUUGUUGCUCCUAGACACAAAGCUAUGAUUAGUAUACUUGAAGAUAUUAGACAUAAAAUGAUGGAUAGGCAUGGAGGUAUGAUCAAGUUUGCUGAUACUUGGAUCACUGACAUUUCACCCAUGGCAAGGCUAGUUUUAGAAGAAAACAAAGAUAUAGGUAGGAAGCUAAAGGUAAAUUAGAACCAUGAAAGUGGUCUCAGGAAGGGCAAAUAGGCACAUAGUUGAUAUGGAUAGGAAGACAUGUAGUUGCAGGUUGUGGCAGUUGAGGGGUAUCCCUUGCCAGCAUGUAGUUUGUGCGUUGUACCAUAUUGGAGAAGAACCAGAAAAUUAUGUGGAGAAUUGGUAUAGAAGGGAAACAUUUCUUAAAGCUUAUAAGUACUUCUGACAGCCAAUCCCUAAUAUGAUAAUGUGGCCUCAAACAAACAACCCAAUAGUGGAGCCCCCUGAAGUGAAGCCAAUGCCUAGGAGACCCCCAAGAAGUAGAAGAAAAGACAAGGAUGAAUCAAGGAAAAAGAAAUGGUGAAAAGCAUCAAAAAAUGGAGUCAAGAUGACAUGUUCCAAAUGCCAUCAAGUUGGCCACAACAAAAAGGGUUGCAAAUCAAGACAUGAGAGACCAAGUGAAAGAGUUAUCUCAAGUGGGGCAGCAUUAAAUGAAGCAUCACUAACAAAUAUUGAUCUUGGAUUCAAGCCACCUGGAUUGAGGUGGAAAAAUAAAGAUGCCAUCACUGGGAACCAACUUGAAGUAAUGCAGCAGCGAAAGAAGUUGCAAAUCAGAUCCAAAGCUAAGAGUUUGGUGCCAUAAGAAUUCAAGUUCAAGUUCAUUUUAUGUAUUUUUUGUAAAUCCCAAGUUCAACAAUGCUUCUGGCAUUUAGACUUGCCUUUGGACUAUUUAACAAUUGCUCUUUUUGAUGUAUGCUUGGGUUAUUUUGAUGUAUUUUGCAUUUAGGCUACUUUCUUGGUGUUGGCUAGCCUUUUGGCUAUUUUGAUGUUUUGUGAAGCUUUUUGGCUAUUUAACAGUGUUUGGUGAAGCCUAGAUUGGCAGAUUUAUCAAGAUAAUUUUAUGCCUAC